UGACUCAGUUGGUAGAGCAUGGUGUUUGCAAUGCCAGCGUUGUGGGUUCGAUUCCCAC
rnacentral:tRNA from 1 species